GUCGACUGAUCAUAACAGGUAUUUGAUUGGAGACGAUGAGCACUGUUGGAGCGACAACGGCGUCUCAAAUAUCGAAGGCGGUUGCUAUGCUAAAUGCAUUGAUCUAUCUGCCGAGAAGGAACCUGAUAUCUUCAAUGCCAUCAAAUUCGGGACUGGUAAUAUGAACGCAUUUCUUACAAGUAGUUUGCUUGCGAGCUAAUGAACGGAAUUUUGACUCAAAAUGGCUUCGUCAUAUGUGAUAGUGUUGGAGAAUGUCGUGUUCGAUGAGCAUUCAAGAGAAGUGGACUACACAGACAAAUCCGUGACAGGUAAACAAUGGAGCUUAGAUUGAUAUAUUUCGGUUAAUAUUUGAUUUAGCCCUCUCCUCCUGUGUUUGAUUGUGUUUCCGUUUGGCAGAGAACACAACGGUACAGAGGAUGGCAUCAAGGAACCUCAGGCAACCUUUUCAGCCUGCUUUGGUGCUGCCUUCAUAAUGAUGCAUCCCACUAGGUAUGCAGCAAUGCUGGCUGAGAAGAUGGAGAAGCAUGGAGCUACCGGAUGGCUAGUUAACACCGG
rnacentral:lncRNA from 1 species